rnacentral:rRNA from 1 species
GACAGAGGGGGCAAGCGUUGUUCGGAUUCAUUGGGCGUAAAGGGUGUGUAGGUGGCGCGCUAAGUCGGGUGUGAAAUUUCGGAGCUUAACUCCGAAACUGCAUUCGAUACUGGCGUGCUUGAGGACUGGAGAGGAGACUGGAAUUCAUGGUGUAGCAGUGAAAUGCGUAGAGAUCAUGAGGAAGACCAGUGGCGAAGGCGGGUCUCUGGACAGUUCCUGACACUGAGACACGAAGGCCAGGGGAGCAAACGGG